GCCUCUGUGGCGAAAUUGGUACACGCGUACGGCUUAGGACCGUAUCCCGAAAGGGUUGGGGGUUCGAGUCCUCCCAGAGGCA
rnacentral:tRNA from 1 species